rnacentral:rRNA from 1 species
GAUCCUGGCUUAGGACGAACGCUGGCGGCAUGCCUAACACAUGCAAGUCGAACGGAGUAAUGACUUCGGUUAUUACUUAGUGGCGAACGGGUGAGUAACACGUGAAUAAUCUGCCCUGUACGAUGGGAUAACAGCUGGAAACGGCUGCUAAUACCGUAUAUGACCACGCCGAGGCAUCUCGGAGGGGUGAAAGCGCUUAAGCGGUACAGGAUGAGUUCGCGUCCAAUUAGCUAGUUGGUGAGGUAACGGCCCACCAAGGCGACGAUUGGUAGCCGACCUGAGAGGGUGAUCGGCCACACUGGAACUGAGACACGGUCCAGACUCCUACGGGAGGCAGCAGUGGGGAAUAUUGGGCAAUGGAGGAAACUCUUACCCAGCCAAUGCCGCGUGAGUGAUGAAGGUCUUCGGAUUGUAAAGCUCUUUGAUUGGGGACGAAUAAAUGACGGUACCCAAGGAACAAGCCCCGGCUAACUAUGUGCCAGCCGCAGC